rnacentral:piRNA from 1 species
UAUGCGCAGAACAAGGAAAAA